AGUGAAAGCAGUGGGAGCCUCUUUUAUGGGGUGACUGCGUACCUUUUGUAUAAUGGGUCAGCGACUUAUAUUCUGUAGCAAGGUUAACCGAAUAGGGGAGCCGAAGGGAAACCGAGUCUUAACUGGGCGUUAAGUUGCAGGGUAUAGACCCGAAACCCGGUGAUCUAGCCAUGGGCAGGUUGAAGGUUGGGUAACACUAACUGGAGGACCGAACCGACUAAUGUUGAAAAAUUAGCGGAUGACUUGUGGCUGGGGGUGAAAGGCCAAUCAAACCGGGAGAUAGCUGGUUCUCCCCGAAAGCUAUUUAGGUAGCGCCUCGUGAAUUCAUCUCCGGGGGUAGAGCACUGUUUCGGCAAGGGGGUCAUCCCGACUUACCAACCCGAUGCAAACUGCGAAUACCGGAGAAUGUUAUCACGGGAGACACACGGCGGGUGCUAACGUCCGUCGUGAAGAGGGAAACAACCCAGACCGCCAGCUAAGGUCCCAAAGUCAUGGUUAAGUGGGAAACGAUGUGGGAAGGCCCAGACAGCCAGGAUGUUGGCUUAGAAGCAGCCAUCAUUUAAAGAAAGCGUAAUAGCUCACUGGUCGAGUCGGCCUGCGCGGAAGAUGUAACGGGGCUAAACCAUGCACCGAAGCUGCGGCAGCGACACUGUGUGUUGUUGGGUAGGGGAGCGUUCUGUAAGCCUGUGAAGGUGUGCUGUGAGGCAUGCUGGAGGUAUCAGAAGUGCGAAUGCUGACAUAAGUAACGAUAAAGCGGGUGAAAAGCCCGCUCGCCGGAAGACCAAGGGUUCCUGUCCAACGUUAAUCGGGGCAGGGUGAGUCGACCCCUAAGGCGAGGCCGAAAGGCGUAGUCGAUGGGAAACAGGUUAAUAUUCCUGUACUUGGUGUUACUGCGAAGGGGGGACGGAGAAGGCUAUGUUGGCCGGGCGACGGUUGUCCCGGUUUAAGCGUGUAGGCUGGUUUUCCAGGCAAAUCCGGAAAAUCAAGGCUGAGGCGUGAUGACGAGGCACUACGGUGCUGAAGCAACAAAUGCCCUGCUUCCAGGAAAAGCCUCUAAGCAUCAGGUAACAUCAAAUCGUACCCCAAACCGACACAGGUGGUCAGGUAGAGAAUACCAAGGCGCUUGAGAGAACUCGGGUGAAGGAACUAGGCAAAAUGGUGCCGUAACUUCGGGAGAAGGCACGCUGAUAUGUAGGUGAAGUCCCUCGCGGAUGGAGCUGAAAUCAGUCGAAGAUACCAGCUGGCUGCAACUGUUUAUUAAAAACACAGCACUGUGCAAACACGAAAGUGGACGUAUACGGUGUGACGCCUGCCCGGUGCCGGAAGGUUAAUUGAUGGGGUCAGCGCAAGCGAAGCUCUUGAUCGAAGCCCCGGUAAACGGCGGCCGUAACUAUAACGGUCCUAAGGUAGCGAAAUUCCUUGUCGGGUAAGUUCCGACCUGCACGAAUGGCGUAAUGAUGGCCAGGCUGUCUCCACCCGAGACUCAGUGAAAUUGAACUCGCUGUGAAGAUGCAGUGUACCCGCGGCAAGACGGAAAGACCCCGUGAACCUUUACUAUAGCUUGACACUGAACAUUGAGCCUUGAUGUGUAGGAUAGGUGGGAGGCUUUGAAGUGUGGACGCCAGUCUGCAUGGAGCCGACCUUGAAAUACCACCCUUUAAUGUUUGAUGUUCUAACGUGGACCCGUGAUCCGGGUUGCGGACAGUGUCUGGUGGGUAGUUUGACUGGGGCGGUCUCCUCCUAAAGAGUAACGGAGGAGCACGAAGGUUGGCUAAUCCUGGUCGGACAUCAGGAGGUUAGUGCAAUGGCAUAAGCCAGCUUGACUGCGAGCGUGACGGCGCGAGCAGGUGCGAAAGCAGGUCAUAGUGAUCCGGUGGUUCUGAAUGGAAGGGCCAUCGCUCAACGGAUAAAAGGUACUCCGGGGAUAACAGGCUGAUACCGCCCAAGAGUUCAUAUCGACGGCGGUGUUUGGCACCUCGAUGUCGGCUCAUCACAUCCUGGGGCUGAAGUAGGUCCCAAGGGUAUGGCUGUUCGCCAUUUAAAGUGGUACGCGAGCUGGGUUUAGAACGUCGUGAGACAGUUCGGUCCCUAUCUGCCGUGGGCGCUGGAGAACUGAGGGGGGCUGCUCCUAGUACGAGAGGACCGGAGUGGACGCAUCACUGGUGUUCGGGUUGUCAUGCCAAUGGCACUGCCCGGUAGCUAAAUGCGGAAGAGAUAAGUGCUGAAAGCAUCUAAGCACGAAACUUGCCCCGAGAUGAGUUCUCCCUGACCCUUUAAGGGUCCUGAAGGAACGUUGAAGACGACGACGUUGAUAGGCCGGGUGUGUAAGCGCAGCGAUGCGUUGAGCUAACCGGUACUAAUGAACCGUGAGGCUUAACCUU
rnacentral:rRNA from 1 species